UACUAGAACAGCUAAAUUUAUUAAUGAAC
rnacentral:piRNA from 1 species